rnacentral:lncRNA from 1 species
UGUUGCACAGGCUUUGAAAUCGACUCUUUAAGUGAAAUACAAAAAAAUUUAAGUAAUCGUUAGCCACGCCUCUCGUCUGAAAGUAACCAGAACACAAAUAUGGAAAUAUCAAUUUGAUUUUGAAUGGGAUUGUUCGAUGGGCAAGCUAGGUUACCAAAGAUCAACUACUGUUCGUUACAUAGCUGAGUAUAUUCUUUAAAACUUUAGUUUGAACGGUUAUUCAUAUAGGAAAGAAAACAAAAAAUUAUCAACCGGUUGUGCCUGGCUAAAUUUUAACUAAAAAUUGUUAAGAUUUUCCGGCAAAUAGAAGCCUUUUGCAGCAUUGAGCCUCUUAUUAUAUUUUAGUAUCUCCAAUAAAAAAUACGCCCCAUGUUGUUCUACCUCUGAUUAUAGUUUUGGUUCGAGAA